rnacentral:rRNA from 1 species
AACGAACGCUGGCGGCAGGCCUAACACAUGCAAGUCGAGGGAGAAGCUUACUUCGGUAAGUGGAGACCGGCAGACGGGUGAGUAACACGUGGGAACAUACCUUGUACUGGGGGAUAACAGUUGGAAACGACUGCUAAUACCGCAUACGCCCUUCGGGGGAAAGAUUUAUCGGUAUAAGAUUGGCCCGCGUUAGAUUAGCUAGUUGGUAAGGUAACGGCUUACCAAGGCGACGAUCUAUAGCUGGUUUGAGAGGAUGAUCAGCCACACUGGGACUGAGACACGGCCCAGACUCCUACGGGAGGCAGCAGUGGGGAAUAUUGCGCAAUGGAGGAAACUCUGACGCAGCCAUGCCGCGUGAGUGAAGAAGGCCCUAGGGUUGUAAAGCUCUUUCAGACGUGAUGAUGAUGACAGUAGCGUCAAAAGAAGUUCCGGCUAACUUCGUG